UACGUAGGUGGCAAGCGUUGUCCGGAUUUACUGGGCGUAAAGAGUAUGUAGGCGGAUAUUUAAGUCAGAUGUGAAAUUCCCGGGCUUAACCUGGGCGCUGCAUUUGAAACUGGAUAUCUAGAGUGCGGGAGAGGAAAGUGGAAUUCCUAGUGUAGCGGUGAAAUGCGUAGAGAUUAGGAAGAACACCCGUGGCUAAGGCGGUUCUCUAGUACGGUACUGACGCUGAGACGCGAAAGCGUGGGGAGCGAACAGG
rnacentral:rRNA from 1 species